CCAGACCCCUACGGGAGGCAGCAGUGGGGAAUAUUGCACAAUGGGGGAAACCCUGAUGCAGCAACGCCGCGUGAGUGAAGAAGUAUUUCGGUAUGUAAAGCUCUAUCAGCAGGGAAGAAGAUGACGGUACCUGACUAAGAAGCCCCGGCUAACUACGUGCCAGCAGCCGCGGUAAUACGUAGGGGGCAAGCGUUAUCCGGAUUUACUGGGUGUAAAGGGAGCGUAGACGGCCAGGCAAGCCUGGAGUGAAAGCCCGGGGCCCAACCCCGGGACUGCUCUGGGAACUGUCCGGCUGGAGUGCGGGAGGGGCAGGCGGAAUUCCUGGUGUAGCGGUGAAAUGCGUAGAUAUCAGGAGGAACACCGGCGGCGAAGGCGGCCUGCUGGACCGCGACUGACGUUGAGGCUCGAAAGCGUGGGGAGCGAACAGGAUUAGAUACCCCGGUAUAA
rnacentral:rRNA from 1 species